GACGAACGCUGGCGGCGUGCCUACUACAUGCAAGUAGAACGCAGUUGCGAACGGGUGAGUAACGCGUAGGUAACUGCCUCAUAGCGGGGGAUAACUAUUGGAAACGAAAGCUAAUACCGCCUACUGUGAGAUGGACCUGCGUUGUAUUAGCUAGUUGGUGAGGUAAAGGCUCAACAAGGCGACGAUACAUAGCCGACCUGAGAGGGUGAACGGCCAAACUGGGACUGGGACACGGGCCAGACGCCCACGGGAGGCAGCAGGAGGGAAACUUCGGGAAUGGACGGAAGUCUGACCGAGCAACGCCGGGUGGGUGAAGAAGGUUUUCGGAUCGUAAAGCUCUGUUGUUAGGGAAGCGGUAACGAACCAGAAAGGGACGGCUAACUACGUGCCAGCCGCCGCGGUAAUUC
rnacentral:rRNA from 1 species